rnacentral:sRNA from 1 species
UUGCCGAAAAGUGAAUCCUUUGAAUGGG